ensembl:snoRNA SNORA75 Small nucleolar RNA SNORA75
AUCUUUUCCAUGAGUUCUUUUUGUCAGUUGGCGGCAGUAUGUGGAUUCAUAUGAUAAGUGAUAAUUCACAGAAUUAGCAUUAUUUUACCUUCUGUCUUUAUAGAGGUAUAUUUGGUGUUUUAUGAGACGUUC